UCCCCUGGGAGCCUCCUCUGCUCCAGCCUGCACAGCCCCAACUCUUUCAGGCUGUGCUCACAGCAGAGCUGCUGCAGCCUCUGAGCAUCUGAGAUGCUGACCCAGGACUGGUCCCAGGACUGAUGCCUGAGGGACUCCACUUGCCACUGCCUGCACUGGGACAUGGAGCCAUUGGCAGCCACUCUCUGGGUGCAGCCCUGAAGCCAGUUCUGUAUCCAUCAGUGCUGCACCCAUCAACCCCAUGUGGCAGCAGCCUGGAGAGCAGGCUGUGGUGUGGGGCAGUGCCCGAGGCCUUGCUCAGGCCCAGGUCAAUGACAGAAAGCUUCUGCAAGGCAGCAUCAGUUUGAGCUUCUCUCCAUAGUGUGGCUCUGCCUGUUGCCCUCCUCGACACUGGCAAGAGGCUGCCAGAGCUGCACCCUGGUACUGAAGAACUUCUUCCUCAGCUCCAGUCUAACCCUACUCUGCCUCAGCUUCAAACCAUGUCCCCUUGGGCUGUCUCCAGACACCCUCAGCAGAAGUCCCUCUGGACACCCUUAUGAGAGGUUUGUUUUCAGGGGUGUCUGUAGGCAUUCAGCUGGCAGCAGGUGGGCAGCUGAGUGCUGUGCCCAUAGCCAGGGACCUUAAAGGUUAUCUAUCAGCAGAGUCAGCUCCCACCAGCCCAGGUGGCUCAAGGCCUCAUCCAGCCUGGCCUGGAACACCUCCAGGGAGGUUGUGGAGCACAGAAGCACCCAAUGUGAUCAAAGAUCAUGCUGGGUGAUUCUGUGCUCCACAACCUCCCUGGGCAACCUGUGCCAGCCUCGCCACCCUCACUGCAAAGGUCCUCCCCAGUGGUGGUUUUGCCUGCUGAGGCAAUGGUUUCAGCUCCCCUAUCCACGUCCCCAGAUCCUGCUGAGAGAGACUUGUUUGUACAUCCAGACUAAAGGCCUGCUGAGGCUCAUCUCCACCCUGCUAAUGCCCUUACAGCAGCACUUUGCAUCCACCCAGCACAUGAUGGGCUGGAAAGUCUUGUUACACAUGAUAAAGGGUGCAAGGUGGUGGUGGUGGUGGUGAUGAGACAGCAAAGCUGUUUGAUGUCUGAAUUGCAGGCAUCAAAGCCCUGGCUGGCAUGAAAACACCUCUGAAGUGGGCCAGGAAGCUGGGUGUGAUCAAUCUGUUUGCUGGUCAUUAUUUGUCACUGAACUAAACUCUGCUGACUUCCCCUCAGGGAGGAGAGAGCCUGCAGACAGACAGCAGCCUUACCUGGACUGAAACCUUCACCUUGGAACGUGGCAGUCAGAGCUGAGAGAAGCAAUGAGGCUGUCAGCCCUGGGGCUUUUGCUCUGGAGAAGGCUGAGAAGAGAUCUGGAGGUCUGAAGCAGAGUGCCAAAGUCUACUGCUGCAGCCUGUGCUUGAGCCCCACUCUGCCCUCCCUCCAAGCAGCAGAGACCAUUCUGUACAUCUCUACAGUGGUUAAUGAAGAUGCUGAAAGCAGCCAAAGUUUUUACAUGAAUGUAAAAGAAAAGGAAACAUUUAAUUUGCUCUCAGGCAGCAAAGUUAAAUGGAGAGAGAAGAGCCUCCUGCUAAGGAAUGCGAUGAAUGCAUGGGCACAGGAAGCAGCUGGAGGUGAUGAUUUAACACUAUGCAGCAGCUGAAUUCAAGCAGUGAAUGACUCUGCUCUUAUUUAAAGGCUUCGAUGUUUGCCACUUCAUUAGUGCUGAUCAUUAAUCAGAGUCUGAAUUAGCAUUGUUUCAAACAGCUCCCUGGAAGGUGUUCCAAGUCCUGGGCUCUUCAGGAAUUCUUUGGCUACGUCCAUUAGAGAGUUAAAUACAACUGAGAGUACCCUAAAAAGCCAGGAGCCGUUUGCAGGUGGUGCAGAGUGCAGACGUGAGGAGCUCCUGGCGAGGACCGAGCUCCAGCAUCCACUCGUACAGCUCCAACAGGAGGCAGGAGACAAA